AUUGAACGCUGGCGGAAUGCUUUACACAUGCAAGUCGAGCGGCAGCGCGGGGGCAACCCUGGCGGCGAGCGGCGAACGGGUGAGUAACAUAUCGGAACGUACCCCGUCGUGGGGGAUAACACAGCGAAAGCUGUGCUAAUACCGCAUACGACCUGCGGGUGAAAGCGGGGGAUCGCAAGAACUCGCGCGAUGGGGACGGCCGAUAUCGGAGUAGCUUGUUGGGGAGGUAAAGGCUCACCAAGGGGACGAUCCGUAGCUGGUCGGAGAGGACGAUCAGCCACACUGGAACUGAGACACGGUCCAGACUCCUACGGGAGGCAGCAGUGGGGAAUUUUGGACAAUGGGGGCAACCCUGAUCCAGCCGUUCCGCGUGAGUGAAGAAGGCCUUCGGGUUGUAAAGCUCUUUCAGCAGGAACGAAACGGUGGCCACUAAUACUGGCUACUAAUGACGGUACCUGAAGAAGAAGCACCGGCUAACUACGUGCCAGCCGCCGCAGUAACAC
rnacentral:rRNA from 1 species